rnacentral:rRNA from 1 species
CGGGAAAAGCUCAAAUUUAAAAUCUGGUAGUCUUUGGCUGCCCGAGUUGUAAUCUAGAGAAGUGUUACCCGUGCUGGACCGUGUACAAGUCUCCUGGAAUGGAGCGUCAUAGAGGGUGAGAAUCCCGUCUUUGACACGGACUCCCAGUGCUUUGUGGUGCGCUCUCAAC